rnacentral:sRNA from 1 species
AGAGCUGGCCGUGGGGGAAGAGCAAUGGUGUGCGGAGGUGGGGAGGCCCUAUCUAGGGACAAGCAGAAAACUUAGGGUGGGCAGAUCCCCCCGACCCCUGUGCAGGGGCUGCCAGAGACCAGAGAGGCUGCUGUGUGACCUGGACCAAGCCCCUUGCCCUCUCAUGCCUCAGUUUCCCCUUCUCUCCACGGAGGGAUUGAGCAGGACAUGGAGGGCCCCUUCCAGUAGCCAUUCUGGGACUCCCUGCACCUGUCCCCAGGGGAGGGUCCUGAGCUGGCCUCCACGUGGCUGCUGUUCCCCAUAGUGGAACCUUGUGUGUGGAGAUGGCUGGAAGGUCCCGCUGGAGCAGGUGAGCCACCUCCUGGGCUGGCUGCUGGGCUGUGUCGUCCUGGGAGCAGGCUGUGACCGGUUUGGACGCCGGGCAGUUUUUGUGGCCUCCCUGGUGCUGACCACAGGCCUGGGGGCCAGUGAGGCCCUGGCUGCCAGCUUCCCUACCCUGCUGGUCCUGCGCCUACUCCACGGGGGCACAUUGGCAGGGGCCCUCCUCGCCCUGUAUCUGGCUCGCCUGGAGUUGUGUGACCCUCCCCACCGCCUGGCUUUCUCCGUGGGGGCUGGCCUUUUCUCGGUGGCGGGCACCCUGCUGCUGCCCG